rnacentral:rRNA from 1 species
AGUGAACGCUGGCGGUAGGCCUAACACAUGCAAGUCGAACGGCAGCACAGUAAGAGCUUGCUCUUACGGGUGGCGAGUGGCGGACGGGUGAGGAAUACAUCGGAAUCUACUUUUUCGUGGGGGAUAACGUAGGGAAACUUACGCUAAUACCGCAUACGACCUACGGGUGAAAGCAGGGGAUCUUCGGACCUUGCGCGAUUGAAUGAGCCGAUGUCGGAUUAGCUAGUUGGCGGGGUAAAGGCCCACCAAGGCGACGAUCCGUAGCUGGUCUGAGAGGAUGAUCAGCCACACUGGAACUGAGACGCGGUCCAGACUCCUACGGGAGGCAGCAGUGGGGAAUAUUGGACAAUGGGCGCAAGCCUGAUCCAGCCAUACCGCGUGGGUGAAGAAGGCCUUCGGGUUGUAAAGCCCUUUUGUUGGGAAGGAAAAGCAGCAGGUUAAUACCCCGCUGUUCUGACGGUACCCAAAGAAUAAGCACCGGCUAACUUCGUG